GCCGGCGUAGCUCAGUUGGUAGAGCGCCUCACUUGUAAUGAGGAUGUCGCGGGUUCGACUCCUGUCGCCGGCU
rnacentral:tRNA from 1 species